GGUAUGUGAGAGGUUGGGUUGAGGACUUGAUGGGUGGUGAGGCAGGCCCUUCAGAAUGAUGAGAGGCUGGAGGCCAGAGGGGACUUGGAGGAUGUCCCCGAGUCUGUCUUUCCUUCUUCAGCUUGAGAGAAUUGCCUGGUAUGGACCUGAGGAGGAAAACAAGUCUCCAGUUCCUGUGUUGUUCCUGUUGACCUCUGACUUCUCUCUCCAGAUUUGGCCCCUGAGAUCCUCCCUGGACUCUACUGGCCCAAGCCCAGCGAAGCAUCAUUAGGGCCCUCACCCUGUUCUCUAAGACCCCCCUCCCCCACCUUCUUUCUUUCUGCCUGUCUAAGUCUGCAGGGAGACGACCAGCAGUAAGGGCCAGAGGGUUUGAGAAUGAGCCCUCCUUCAUAUUGGAUAUUGCAUUGACCUCUGAGAUCUUUUUCUGACUGCAAAAACAGCCUGAUGAAUUACUAUUCUUGAGUCUUCAUCUUUUCUCCGAAAUCUCAGCUGAGCUGCACAUUUGGAUGGGGCAUUAUGGAAGACAGGAUGACAGUAUAGAGAUAUUCUGGCCACAUGAAGGGGAAAUAAAUGAAAGUUUGGAGAUGUAUAAGGUGAUUUUGAAGGUCCAUACGACGGUAAUUUACCUGGGUCAGAAGCAUGUUGUCAUGUCACUAUACCAUGAAUGCAAUAAAUCAGUGAAGGCAUUCUUGAAGUUCAGCUUCAAAAUAAAUGGAUGUCGAGGAUUGCAUUGUGAGAGAUAACUGGGGCAACUGGACAUAACAGAAUCUUUAUCUUUCAACAGUCAAGAUGCUUAACAUUCUAAAAAGCCUCGGCUCUGUAUCUUACUUCAUGUAUCAUCAAGUCUAGUCCCUUUCAGCCCAACAAUGUAGGCCCUCGUUUUUAUGUGUUUGUGUGUGUAUUUGUUGGUAAUAUGUUCAUGAAUAUGAGUGGUUGAUACACAAUCUGCAAAAUAAAUCAACAUAGCUUCUUGAGGGAAUUUCUUGCUGUUCAGACUUAAACUAAAGGGAUAUUUGCAAAGCA